UGUCAAAAUUCUCAACUUUUAUCGGCGUAGACUCGUACACGAUAAAUUUCUUCUUGGUAGAGUAGACUCGCAGUAAUUAUAAAGUUAUAAAUUAUAAACCGUUUGGCUAGCAGUCGUGGUGUAACUGGGGUUGCUGAGCAGCUUAAUAAAACAUUUACUAAUUGCUCUGGAAAAUCUACAAUAAAUAACAAAUACAGGGGAACGGUCAUAGACGCAGUGGUUAUAACCGAUGGGGUAACAAUUCAAGGAACAGCACCUUUGGGAGUGAUAGCAACAACAGCUAUAAUACAGAUAAUGGGCCUAGUAUAGAUGCAUAUUUGCACCCUUCAAUGCUGGAAGAUCCGUGGGCUCAACUUCGCCAAAACACGAAAUAAUGACCUACAAAUCAAUAUUUUCUAAGCAAGUUUUUGAUGAAAUGGACAGCAUCUUUGUUGUGAUCAAUAAUUUAAAAAUAGCCAAGGAAUUAUUUUUAUGUAUAGAUAGACAGUGUUACAUAAUGUAGAUAUUUUCCUGACCUAUAUUAUAAAAUUUUAAAUUUUUUAAUAAUAAAAUUUGAUUUUUAAUUCUGUUGACUACGAGAAUAUUUAGAUAUAUUCAAUAUAAACAUAGAUAAUACAUAGGGUAAACAAGUAUUUUUAGUAGCUUUAAGUCUUGGUAAAAGUUUUAACAGUAAUUAGCAACUGUGAUGCCUUGAAAAGCAAUAACUAUUGUAUUUACAGUGUAUUUUAGUUUUUACAUUCUAUUAUUUCUGUUCGUAGAUAAGAUAGCUUAGUCUAUUUAAGUAAUUAUAAAGAUUAAAUUGUAAUUAAGUGGAAAGAGCAGUCAUAUAAGACUGUUUUGUGAAAAUCUUUAAAAUUAAUAAUAAAACUUGUAUAUUCCUGACUCAUUCUACUAAAAAUGUUUGCAAUGCAUAAAAAGUAUUUGACUCUUGUAUUGUGGCUUUGCUUAAGAGUCAGAAACAAUGUUAUAUUUCUAAAUUUAUUCUGGUAUUCAGGGUCCAGAUGUACUAAAUUGUAUGUUUCUCCGUUACCAAUAAGAUUUAAGAAAAAAAAAUAGCUUGUUUAACCAAGUUGAAUUUUGGAAUCAUUUUAUAAGAAAUCAAUACAUUUGUAUGUUAUUGUGCAUAGUUUGACUUAAAUCAGUGACCUUCUACAGCUGUGAGCAAAUCCGGAAAAAUAUGUAAUAAAUAAAAUGUUAAUAAAGUUUAGUCAAAAUACAAGAAAUAAAAUAUAUAAUAAUAUGAAGUAAGUAAUGGUAAGUACUGCUAAAUAAUAUGGGCCCGCAUGGGUAGGAACUACCACCCUGCCUAUUUCUGCCGUUUUGUUUAUCAAAACAAAAUGGCAAAAACAAAACAGGCCCCGUGUGCCCUUAUGGUAAAGACGGUAUUGGGUGGCGGCAUAUAUGUUAUUCUUUGUGUUGACGUCUGAGCUCAGGUAACCACUAACAUUAGGCGGGCGGUGUUCUCAUCGACCCAUUUAAGCACUAAAAAAAAAACUGUUAUUUAUGGUAUUAUGACGUCAAAAGGGAAUCAAGUAAACAUUUUCUAGUACUUACAAAUACAUUACACAGAUUUGGAGGGAAUCAUUUUGAUCGUGUGACACGCAAUAUGUAGUUAAUUUAGAAAAUUCUUAAAUUAGCUGAAAUAUUUUGUUUUUAUAACUAUAUACUACAAAGGAAUUAAAUAAAAUAGAUUUUAAUAACCAA